ensembl:snoRNA SNORA66 Small nucleolar RNA SNORA66
GUGUAAACUUGUUCACUAGUUCUGCAUCAUGUGGCAAAAGCUAAAGAAACCAGGUUUCUCAACUAAUUAUUGUGACAGGAAUAUAUUAGCCUCAGAAGCUAAUAAUCAAGGUGGCCCAUUCUAGUACAGUAUAAAA